GCUACGUGAAGAUAAACUGUACCAUUCUCCUCUCUCUUUCCAGACCUUUCCAUCUUCUACGUCUGCGUAUGGCGCUGCAAACGGUCUAAAUGUUCAAUGGGUCCAGUCUUGAAGAGACCGGCCACUAGGGGGCACCCAGCAGCAGGAAGGUAGAAGUUGCGGGCCACCAGUUCGACUGAGUUUGUUUUAUUUGCAUGUAAUAAACUUGAAUUAAUUAAUUAGUAAUGUAGUAUUUUAGAAGUAUCACAGUAGUAUAAUAUAUUCUUAGAAGGAUAGAUUAGGUUUUCAGAAGUGUUUCAGCAAGGAAAGUAAAAUCUUGUCUUGCUUUAGCAGAAUGACAUCUCAUUUGUGACAGUGAAGUUCUUUUGAAAAAUGUCUGAAUUUGACACACACAUACUAAUAAAGUCACUUUGUAGCAAUGUAA